UGGAAGUAUAAAAGGCUGGCCUUCCAGCUCAGUUGGAGAGGAGCCAUUAGAGGUGAAGGAUGUCUCUCACCUGCUGCUGGAGCUUGAUACUUGACAGCAACUACUGCAGCACCUGAGAGCUGGAGGGGCUGCCAGUCGCUGGAGACAUCAAGGAGUUGCUGGGGCUGCUGUUAGAUGUUUACCCCAGUGAGACAGAUGAUGACACUGGAACCCAGGUAUCGUGAAGACGAGUAACACUAUUUAAUCAGAAUGGGAGAAUAUUGGCUAACUUGGCUCAGUCUCUUCCUUUGUCUACAUGUGAAUGAAGAGCUUGUGAAAGCUGCCAGACUGCUUGCCCUGGAAACAGAAGUCCCCUAUCCACAGAAUGGGCAGUGAGGGGAAGCUUUUACCUAAUCUACGUGCUUCAUGCUAGAUGUGGAGGGACCACCUCAAUGGGUCCAUUUUCUGUGUGCAUUCUUCAGUGACUGGCCUCUUUACUUCAAGGUUUCCAGUUGUAAAGGUGGUUUUUGUGAUCUGCUCAUGUGUCCACAGGAAAUGGCACCGAGAACUCUAAAAACUUCCUGGAGACCACCUGACUGCCUUCCGAUGGUAGAAGUUUGUAGUUAGUACUAGCCUGGGCUGGCUUCAGACUAGCAACCUAGAGGUGACUAGCUCUAUUUCUCAUUCGUAAUCCUCCAGGUCCAAUGAUUUUUUUUUUUUUAAACUGGGGUCUAUCAAGGGACAGCAAAGGAGCACAACUCCCACACCUCUGUUAAAAGGGAGUGCUAUUCCCCUAGAGUUCUCCCCUCUUAUUGCCCCAGUACAGAUUACAUGAUAUACAACUGAUGUGUUUGCAUAAAAAUAUAGAUUGUGAAUUGAAGAACUCCUUGGUAUGUUCCAUCUGUAGUGGUGGUUAAUACAUAUAAAGUUUGAUUCUUCUU